UAAAGAUUUCUUGUCUCUCUCCAGCCUAUGACUUAAUGGCCUUAAUUUGCCACCAUUUCUGUUGCAGAUGGUCAGGCUUGCAUCUGUAUCAGUCCAAUCGUUCUUCCAGCUGUUGAGUUGGCUUUCCUGCACUGGAUGUUCACAGAGAAGGGGAUGAGGACUCAGUUGGGCAGAGACUCUGUGACAGUACAUUGAGAGGGUGGAAGCAGCCUGUCCUUCAAGUUCAAGAGGAAUUUUCACCGUGUUGCAGUACAGUGCUCAUUGUCAUCAUUCUGCCUGUCAAGUGUCCCUUGGGUCAUCAGGGCAGUAGGUUUCAGGGGAUGUCACUGGUGUGCCUGGUGUGUAGGUGGACAUUAGGCUCACUACAUUACAUGCACUGAUAACUCUUGAUUUUCCUUUGGUUACAGUGCAAAAAAUGCAGAUAAAAACUCAAGAAUAGGAAAGGUAGCCCGAAGAACAACAAAGGCCAGGAUCCCAAGUAUUUAAUAUUCAUGUUCUGUUCCAUGAGGACUCAGUCUUCUUAACAACCCUAGGAAAUGGGGACUAUUAUUGUUAAGAGUUACUUAGACAAUUAGGUAAUCAGGGCCAGGGUCCUCAACAAGAAGAUAUGGAGUCAGGACAGCUCAAAUAAAACUACUACCACCCACUUUGCAGCUUAGACAGGACCCCACUGGCAUUCUGCUUUGCAGCCUUUGUAGAAGUGACUUCCGGAAAAGGUCCUAAAUAAGACAAUUAACCACAAGGCAUUUGUCCUUACUGCAGGCAAGGGGCAGUUAAGCCCCCAGACAUCAGGAAAAAAAAAAAAAAAA